UGGGGAAUAUUGGACAAUGGGGGAAACCCUGAUCCAGCGACGCCGCGUGUGUGAAGAAGGCCUGCGGGUUGUAAAGCACUUUUAGUGGGGAUGAAAAGCUCAGGGCUAAUACCUCUGGGUCUUGACCUAACCCACAGAAAAAGCACCGGCUAACUCUGUGCCAGCAGCCGCGGUAAUACAGAGGGUGCAAGCGUUAAUCGGAAUUACUGGGCGUAAAGCGUGCGUAGACGGUUAAGUAAGUCGGAUGUGAAAGCCCCGGGCUCAACCCGGGAAUGGCAUUCGAGACUGCGUAGCUAGGGUGCGGAAGAGGGAAGCGGAAUUUCCGGUGUAGCGGUGAAAUGCGUAGAUAUCGGAAGGAACAUCAGUGGCGAAAGCGGCUUCCUGGUCCAGCACCGACGUUCAGGCACGAAAGCGUGGGGAGCAAACAGG
rnacentral:rRNA from 1 species